UCAUAACGCCGUUGCCACAACUAAUAUCAACAAAUACAGAGACCAAGUGAACAACUGAACUCUGAACAAAUAUUUUGUUUCUUUAAACAAAAUAUUUGUUCAGAGUUUCAGAGUUGUUUCAGAUAUUCUAAAGUCGAGAAAAUGCCGAAAAUAGUUGAAAAGCCGCAAAGAAAGAGUAUCAGGAAAUGUUAUGCAGAAUUGAGGGCAGCUCAUCUGAAAAGUAAUCCUGAUACUCUUUCAUCUACCAUUUUCCAGAUGGUAUCAAACAUUUUCGAUCUGAACGUUUCCACAAUCCGAAACAUUGUUAAUGAAGAGGACGACAAAGAAUUUCCUCCUAUUGGGAGACCCAAAAAGGUGGAAGAAAUUGAGAAGUUUAUUUUUAGAAAAGACCUGCAACGGCGAAUUUGGGAUUAUAAUUUGAAAAAUGAAUACUUUAGUGUUGACACUCUACUUAAUUAUGCAAAAAAUGAUUUGGAAUAUACCGGGGGACGGACAUCACUUUACAAAAUUUUAAAAUCGAUGGGUUACAAAUACAAAAGGGUGGAUGAACGCAAAAUUUUAUGUGAACAAAAGCAUGUCGUUGCAGCCAAAAUUACUUUCCUGCGAAAAUUUCUACAAUAUAAAUCAGAUGAAGAUAUCAGAUUCGUGUUCCUCGACGAAACUUGGAUUUACCAAAAUGGUUCUUCUGUUCGUCGAUGGACACACGAAUCUGAUAUAAAGAGCAACCCAUCCAAAAUUAAACAUGAAGGAAAACGUUUUACGGUUUUACACGCAGGAAGUAAUUGUGGAUUUUUAGAGGGGUGUAGUUUAAUUUUAAAUUCGGCAAACAAUGACAGAGACUAUCACAAUACAAUGACCAGUGAAUUAUUUCAUAAUUGGAUCAUUAAUCAACUGAUUCCUGCAUUAGCUAAGAUUCCUGGAAAAUGUGUGGUUGUAAUGGACAAUGCCCCUUAUCAUUCGGUGCAAUUGGACAAGCCACCCACAUUUUCCAGUAAGAAAAGUGAAAUGCAGGAUUGGUUGAUUAAAAACAAAAUUAAUUUCAGUCAAAAUUCAAAUAAAAAACAACUUUGGCAAUUAAUACUACCCUUUCGAAAUAGAAGUCAACGAAAAUAUUUAGUGGAUGACCUUUUGAAAGAGCAUGGGCAUGAUGUUCUUAGAUUACCCCCAUACCAUUGUCAGUAUAAUCCUAUUGAAAUGGCCUGGGCGUUCUCUAAGAACUUCUACAACAAGAACAUAAAUUCUCUUCCCUAUUCCAAAGAUAGGGUUUUGAAUUUAUGGACUUUGGCUCUUUCAAAAUGUACAUCGGAAAUGUGGAAAAAUUUUUGUAUGCAUUGUGAUAGGCUCAUAACUGACGACUGGGCUAAAUUUAUGGGUAAUCUCCCAAUAGCAGAUAUUCCUCCAUUCAUUAUUUCAUUGGGAGAAUCAGAUUCUUCUGAUGAUGAGUCUGAUUCAAUCGAUGACCUAAUGAAUGCGGAAUAAUAAUGUAGAGGAAAUUUUGAGGUUGUCCAUUCUGCUACAAAAGAUGAAAUGUUCGAGGUACCUACACCCUCAGUAUACAUCUGAAGCAAGUUUUGAAAAGUAAUUGAUCUCUCUGAAUAUCCAUCGGCCAGACUACUAGGCAGUUGUAAACGAGAAAUCCAAAAAUUUCAAUAGGAUCAUCAUUCAUUGAGAAUGUUGGAACUGAAUGGAAUGAAAUUAAAUCUCGCAGUAAGGCAGAGGGAAUGGCAUUUUAACACUAUAUACAUUCAAGAAUGUUGGAACUGAACGGAAUGAAAUAAAAUCUCGCAGUAAGGCAGAGGGAAUGGCAUUUUAACACUAUAUACAUUCAAGAAUGUUGGAACUGAACGGAAUGAAAUAAAAUCUCGCAGUAAGGCAGAGGGAAUGGCAUUUUAACACUAUAUACAUUCAAGAAUGUUGGAACUGAACGGAAUGAAAUAAAAUCUCGCAGUAAGGCAGAGGGAAUGGCAUUUUAACACUAUAUACAUUCAAGAAUGUUGGAACUGAACGGAAUGAAAUAAAAUCUCGCAGUAAGGCAGAGGGAAUGGCAUUUUAACACUAUAUACAUUCAAGAAUGUUGGAACUGAACGGAAUGAAAUAAAAUCUCGCAGUAGGGCAGAGGGAAUGGCAUUUUAGUACUAUAUAUAUUGAAUAUUUUUGUAUAAACAAAAAGAUCUCUCUUCUCAUCUUCUUAAUUUCAAAAAGAAUUAUUGUACAUACAAGCAAAAUGUCAUUCAAUUUGCCCAAAAACAAUCUAUAAACUACUCGGAGGUAAACACAAGCUUGAAAUUUCCAAACAAACUGCUAUGUAUUCAUUUAUAUAUAUAUAUAUAAGAUGGUUUUCUGUUAGAGGGCGUGAGUGGCCCAGAUAAGUUGGGUUCAGGGUGCCUAGAUUAUUAAGGUUCAAAUAGUCAUUAUUCAAUACUUUAACAUCUCCAUAUGAAAUUUCUUGCUCAGGUGUAUCAGGCCAUAAUAUUGUGUGAUCAUCUGCCAACCACUGUUGAGUUGCUCAAUAAAAACAAAUAAAAAAAGAAACAAUCAAAUGUAUCUUGUAUAAAAAAGUUACUAGAGUGUUAAGGAUUUUCAAUAAAUGUCAUCGUUAAAUAAGUUCUAGAAGGUCAAUUUUACAUUUGACUUGUCCUAUACAUUGUGAAUGUCUUAAGGGAUCAAUAAAUAUUUUGUGUGAAA